GUGCUCGCUUCAGCAGCAUAUAUACUCAAUUUGGAGUGAUACAGAGAAGAUUAGCAUGGACUCGGCUCAAGGAUAACACACAAAGUCAUGAGGUGUUCCACAUAUUU
ensembl:snRNA U6 U6 spliceosomal RNA